UACGAAGGGGGCUAGCGUUUCUCGGAAUGACUGGGCGUAAAGGGCGCGUAGGCGGUUCACACAGUCAGGCGUGAAAUUCCUGGGCUUAACCUGGGGGCUGCGUUUGAUACGUGUGGGCUUGAGGGUGGAAGAGGCUCGUGGAAUUCCCAGUGUAGAGGUGAAAUUCGUAGAUAUUGGGAAGAACACCGGUGGCGAAGGCGGCGAGCUGGUCCAUUUCUGACGCUGAGGCGCGAAAGCGCGGGGAGCAAACAGG
rnacentral:rRNA from 1 species